ACACAGAGACGCCGCGUGUGGGAUGACGGCCUUCGGGUUGUAAACCACUGUCGGGAGGGAGAAGAUCUGACGGUACCUCCAAAGGAAGCACCGGCUAACUCUGUGCCAGCAGCCGCGGUAAUACAGAGGGUGCGAGCGUUGUCCGGAAUCACUGGGCGUAAAGGGCGCGUAGGCGGCCUGAUAAGUAGGGGGUGAAAUCCUGUGGCUUAACUGCAGGGCUGCCUCCUAGACUGUCUGGCUCGAGCACGGUAGAGGCAGAUGGAAUUCCCGGUGUAGCGGUGGAAUGCGUAGAGAUCGGGAGGAACAUCGGUGGCGAAGGCGGUCUGCUGGGCCGUUGCUGACGCUGAGGCGCGACAGCGUGGGGAGCAAACAGGAUUAGAUACCCUGGUAGUCCACGCCGUAAACGAUGGACACUAGGCGUCGGGGGGAGCGACCCUCCCGGUGCCGUCGCUAACGCAGUAAGUGUCCCGCCUGGGGAGUACGGCCGCAAGGCUGAAACUCAAAGGAAUUGACG
rnacentral:rRNA from 1 species